rnacentral:rRNA from 1 species
AUUGAACGCUGGCGGCAUGCCUUACACAUGCAAGUCGAACGGCAGCGCGGACUUCGGUCUGGCGGCGAGUGGCGAACGGGUGAGUAAUACCUCGGAACGUACCCUGUUGUGGGGGAUAACUAGUCGAAAGAUUAGCUAAUACCGCAUACGACCUGAGGGUGAAAUGGGGGGACCGCAAGGCCUCACGCACCAGGCGCGGCCAAUGUCUGAUUAGUAGUUGGUAGGGUAAAGGCCUACCAAGCCUGCGAUCUGUAGCUGGUCUGAGGGGAUGAUCAGCCACACUGGGACUGAGACACGGCCCAGACUCCUACGGGAGGCAGCAGUGGGGAAUUUUGGACAAUGGGGGAAACCCUGAUCCAGCCAUGCCGCGUGCAGGAAGAAGGCCUUCGGGUUGUAAACUGCUUUUGUUAGGGAAGAAAUCUUGAGUGCUAAUACCACUUAGGGAUGACGGUACCUAAAGAAUAAGCACCGGCUAACUACGUGCCAGCCGCCGCCGUAA